GGUGAGAUGGCCGAGCGGUCUAAGGCGCCAGACUAAGGUUUCCAUUCAGGCCCAUCUGGUCUCUUCGGGGGCGGGAGUUCGAAUCUCCCUCUCAUCA